UUCUGUUGAAUCUUUACUUUAAAGGAGUGGUAUAGUGUCUUCAAAAAGACCGUUAGCAUCACAACCGUUAACUAUAGAGGCUAACAAUUAGAGGAGCGUCAGAAAAAAAUACCUAAAACAGGGGAAGUUACAAGAAAAUUUGUAAUGAGAGCUGCUGACAGAGAUACAGGAAACACAGAGCUGGAGCGGAACAGAUCUCCUGUCGAAGAACAUCUCCAAAGCGCCAUGAACCAUCUGACUAGUAAGU